CGCGUGCCUCCCUGCCGGCCAACCUGCAUGCUACUCAGUACAGUUGGGGCAUUGUGCUCAGACAAGAAAGGGGCACUUGUGAUCCAGACAAUGGGCUGGGUCGCUCCCAUUUGGCCUGGGCUUCAGCUUCCCUGGGUCAGCAAUAUCCUUUCCUCUGCUCCUGCCCACUCUGCUUCCACCCCUCCCUGGAGAAUGGUGGCUAGGAACACGGAGCAGAGACUCACCGCGGGCCCAUGCCCGGUUUGGCACGUGCCUCGGCCGUGAGGAGGAGGAGGGAUGCAAGCUUCGCUCCUCUACCCUGUGCUGAUCACACUGGGUCCCGCUGUUCCCACGUCUGCCUCCCUACCAGACUGAGCUCCAAGCUGCCAGGGGCCUCGUCUCCAUCUGGGUCCCAGUUCCCACCAUAGAGCUGGGCAUGGAGGACAGCUCAGGGAAGCUUCUUGGGAAAUGAAUUCUGGGAGUUCCCUCUGCCAAGGACCCACUGUGUUAAGAGCUUUAAGGUAUAGACCAAGAGAAAUGGCGGCAUCUGCACACACAAAAACUUGUACAGGAAUGUUCACAGCAGCAAUAACAGCCAAAAAGUGGGAACAAUCUUAAUGUCUACCAACUGACGAACAGGUAUAGACCAAGAGGUAUGGAGGCCAAGGCGAGCAGAUUACUUGAGGUCAGGAGUUCGAGACCAGCCUGGCCAGCGGUUCCAGUGAGGCCCAUGUGAGGCAGUCACUCAGGGCAGUAGCCCCCUCACUGGCCUCCCCACUUCCACUCACACCCACUAUGGCCCACUCCCCACACCUCACAUUCCUGCCCAGGGUCCCCCAGCGGUCCCAUCUUGCUGAGAACCUGCCGGCACUCCUCUUUGCCUGCACGGGCUCACUCAGCCACACAGGUGUCCUCGCGGCUGCUCCACCUCACAGGGCUGGCCCCUGCCUCAGGACUGCAAUACCCGGCUGUUUCUUCUGCCUGGAAUGCUCACACCCCAAACCUUGGCAUGGCUCUCCGCUUCACAUAUUUUACAUUUCUGCACCAGCAUCACCUCCCCAGAGACCACGGUGUCUAAAAGCGCUCCCCCCACCAUCAUUCUCUGCCAUCUUCGUAGCUUGCUUUAGUUUUCUUUUUUUUUUGAGAUGAAGUUUCACUCUUGUUGCCCAGGCUGGAGUGCAAUGCGCGAUCUCAACUCACCGCAACCUCCUCCUCUUGGGUUCAAGCGAUUCUCCUGCCUCAGUCUGCCGAGUAGCUGGGAUUACAGGCAUGCGCCACCAUGCCCAGCUAAUUUUGUAUUUUUAGUAGAGAUGGGGUUUCUCCAUGUUGGUCAGGCUGGUCUUCGAACUCCCAACCUCAGGUGAUCCGCCUGCCUCAGCCUCCCAAAGUGCUGGGAUUACAGCGUGAGCCACCGCACCCAGCCGCUUGCUUUAGUUUUCUUUGUCACACUUAACAUUACCUGGAAUUCCUUCUGGCUUACGGGUUUGUUUGGGUGUGUCUCCCACUAGAAUGUAAGGGCAGGACUGGCUCCAGUGGGCCUCAUUAUCUCCAGGGUCUGGCAUAAAUGGGCACUCAGCUAUUUGCUGAAUCAAUAAACGUGUGUGUCAUUGACAGCUAUCAA
rnacentral:lncRNA from 10 species